GACGAACGCUGGCGGCGUGCUUAACACAUGCAAGUCGAACGGAAAGGCCUCAGCUUGCUGGGGUACUCGAGUGGCGAACGGGUGAGUAACACGUGGGUGAUCUGCCUUGCACUCUGGGAUAAGCUUGGGAAACUGGGUCUAAUACCGGAUAUGAACUGCCUUUAGUGUGGUGGUUGGAAAGUUUUUUCGGUGCAAGAUGAGCUCGCGGCCUAUCAGCUUGUUGGUGGGGUAAUGGCCUACCAAGGCGUCGACGGGUAGCCGGCCUGAGAGGGUGUACGGCCACAUUGGGACUGAGAUACGGCCCAGACUCCUACGGGAGGCAGCAGGGGGGAAUAUUGCACAAUGGGCGGAAGCCUGAUGCAGCGACGCCGCGUGGGGGAGGACGGCCUUCGGGUUGUAAACUCCUUUCGACAGGGACGAAGCUUUUUGUGACGGUACCUGUAUAAGAAGCACCGGCUAACUACGUG
rnacentral:rRNA from 1 species